rnacentral:lncRNA from 1 species
ACAAUUUCAUGAUGGAUUCCUCUCAAAACCUCAAUGUGAGAGGGAAAAAAAAGGAGCCUAUUUCUAUGUUACAACGAAAAGAAUCAGGUUUAAAUGUAAACUACAAGGUUAGAUCUCUGUACAUGGUUUAUGGUACAUGGAGUGGUUGCGUUUUACAGUCCCGAGUGCUCUGACGCUGAAAUGCCAAAUAAAUGCUGCAAAACCAAAAUUCUGCUUAUGGUAUCGACGGACUGACCCAGUAUCGCCAAAUUCUUCUUCCUUGUAUGAACUUUGCAAGGGGCAGAUCCAUUUCUCCAAAAAUUAAAAGUUAUAUGGCGAACAUCCCCCAUUUGUUCUCUGACAGAGAAUAGCAAUAAUCACUGAUUAUUUGUUAGCAUUUCGAAUAUCCGUUGUGAUAUUCCAUGCGAUAGGUCGGUAAUAAUCUGAGUAAUGAACUAGCAUUCGCUCCGGCACAUACUGCUAGCUGUUCAAAGAUACGGUUCAAUGUCUGCAAACCUCAAGAAGGAGCCCUCUCAAAUCAUUAUCUUUACUUUUUUAGUUUUCUUGCUAAGCCAAAAAGGGCAGGCGCGACCAACCAUAGCAAUUCUCCCUGGGUGUGACAUAGGAGCUCCUACCCACUGGGACCCAGAACUAGAAGUGGACCCACCAGACAGGGCGAGCCGUUGCCUGACACCAUAACGUACAACAAUACUGGAGAGAAGGGCGCUCCUUUGUCUGUUUCCAAAGAAGUGUCCUCACACCAUUCAGUAACCAGCCUGGCAA